UAGGAGAUAAAAUAUUUGUAGAAAUAAAAAGGUAUUGGUAGAAAGAAAAAGGAUCAGUUUACUCCCCUCCCCUUAUUAAUACCAUGUCACCACUUGGAAUCCAACAUACAUGAUACCUGAUGAAAGGUAUUCAAAUUUGGACAUGACAGGGUCAUCAGAGGAGGUGGAGUCUAAAUCAAAUAAUGAGUGAUCUUGUUCAUUUUGUAUGUCUAGGUUUGAUUCUUUUCAAGCAGGAAAUCGAUUUCUUUUAAUACAUGUACCCCAUCCAGACAAUAGUAGUAUUGUCGAUGUAAUCAUUCCUCAUUAAUCCAUAAUGAUUUCUCCAAAGAUAUCAACUCUAGUAUUAAAAAUCUCAUGCUAUGAAAAUGACAUAAGUAGGCAGAGCUGUUUGGCUAAGUUUAUUCUUUCAUCGUAAAUUGGCCAAGGCAGACCUUUUUUUCUUGAUACGAUGAAUUAUGGAGAUCUGCUCCUGGGUAAUCCUUUGAAAACUUCCGCUUGGAAGAAGGAUAUAAUAAAGUAUGAAGUGGAACAUUUUUGGACGAAAUGAAAAUCUAGAUCCACGAAAGUUUUCUAUGGUUGACAUUUGAAAAACCUGUGACAAAAUUUAAAUAUGUUGGAUGAUAAAAUCAUUGAAAUUUGUAUUAUCUCGAUGAAGAAUGUUUGAGACUCUAGAGAGGCUAUUGGCUGUAAGACAUUAUUUUUCCUUUGACAUAAUGGUAAGGGUAUAUUCAGCAGAGGAAAUUUUACAAGCAUCAAGUAAAUCUGAUAUAAGGUGGACUCGAAUC
rnacentral:lncRNA from 1 species